GCUUACGGCCAUACCACCUUAGGCACGCCCGAUCUCGUCUGAUCUCGGAAGCUAAGCAGGGUCGGGGCUGGUUAGUACUUGGAUGGGUGACCGCCUGGGAAUACCAGGUGCAUUAAGCA
rnacentral:rRNA from 10 species